rnacentral:rRNA from 1 species
UACGGAGGGUGCGAGCGUUGUCCGGAAUCACUCGGCGUAAAGGGCGCGUAGGCGGCGCGGAUAGUCGGCGGUGAAAGCCCGGAGCUCAACUCCGGGUCGGCCGUCGAUACUUCCGGGCUUGAGCACUGUAGAGGCAGAUGGAAUUCCGGGUGUAGCGGUGGAAUGCGUAGAGAUCCGGAGGAACACCGACGGCGUAGGCAGCGCCCUAGACGAGACCUGACGCUCAGGCACGAAAGCGCGGGGAGCGAACAGG